ACUCCAUACCAAACAGUUGAUUGUCUGAGAAGGGAUCACUCUCUCCGAUCAACGGAAAAGUUUGAGUUCUGGAGAUUUCCCCAGGGUUCAGGUUUGCCAGUCUUUUCUUUUCUCAGGGUCUAUGCUGCAGCUGGGAACUCCCCUUGGUCACCGCUCACCCAUUCCUCUUGUUGGGUCAUCUGCACCUUGGAAAAAUCUGGCUACUGAAUCAGGUUCAGAUUAGUUUGAGGCUCCUAGUUGUUCUCAGUGCCCCCUUAGUGCAAGAUGCUAUAAAUUGCAUCCACUCUUUUCAUGUAAGACCAUAGCCAAACUUCUUCCUUCUUCACAUCGUUAAGGAAACAAAGGCAAUCCACAGCUGGAAUUUGGAAAGGGAGAAGCAGCCAAGCACGAACACAAGCAGCAGAGCUGAAAAGCAACGUCAGAGCUGAAAAUACAGCUCCAAGCUAGCUUAUGACCUCCCAUGUAUUUCGGAAGAAAAGAGCCUUUGCUUUGUUUGGCUCCAGCUAGAGCUGGGUGGAGCCUUAUUUAGGGUAAGAGUUGUACAGAACUGGCUCACAAGUCUCUCUGCUUGCAGCUGAUCCUGGAAGUGUAUUCUCUCAAGUAGGCAGAUUGAGUGUCAGAAACGCAAAUUCCCUGAGGGUGGAGCUGCAGGGUCCUGCCAGAUGGGCACUUCUUCCAGACUCAGGCAGAUCUCUCAUUUUGUUAAUUAGAAAGCUGAACUGAGGCUUUCUUUCUCCCUUGCUCUUCCUACCCAUGAUGGGGGAAGAUGCCUGUCAUUGCUGGGGGGGGGCUUUGCUGUAAGGAGCUGGCUGAUGGCAAGAAAAGACGAAUAACUGAAUGUGCUGCGCCAGAAUGCCAUCCUGUCUCCAUUCAGUAAAGGCACUACUGAGACGGAGAAGCCCAAGAGGAUCGGUCAGGACUGACCUGCAGCCCAGUCCCAGCCCCAUGAAAAGCAUGGCUGAAGCUGACAGGUAGCUUAGGGGUGUUCAAAGGAGCCGCACCUUCUGCAGUGUGGCUGUGCAACUGCAACGUCUGGGGAUCUAAGCAGUGCUUUAAUGCUGAGCCUGAACUUAGCUGGAUUAAGGCAGACAGAACCUGAGAGCCUGUGCUGGCUCAGCUUAGCACGGUGUGCAGGCAUGCUGGCACUCUUUCAUUCCAGACAUUCAUCCGUGAGGCAGGAUUUUUCCCAAGCUGACACACUCCAGCUGCAGAUUCGAUGGACUUGACUUAAACCUUCCAGCACACAGCAGGCAAGAGGAAUGAGUGUUUCUGAUGCCUAGUUGUGUAAUCCAGCACAAGAGACUUGUCCCAGGCCCUACAACGUGAGACCACAUUCUCCAGUUCACAAUGGGGGUCAGAGAUGGCCUGGCCCUGCCACCUCCCCAGGACUUGGGCUCUUCUGUCUCCUCAGUAGGAGUGCAGCCCAUCCUGUAGCCUUACACAUGGUAUUUAGCUUCAUCAAGAUGACCUGGAGCCAUGGCUUCCCACAUCCCAUUGUUUUGUUUGGGAAGGGGCGUUACAUGGUUAUUUGGAGGUUGGUUAAUGUAGCCAGAAUUUGGCCACCUCCAGUGUGGCACCCACAAGUCAGCCUAGCAAGCCAUCUUUAUAAGAAGGGCUAUUUUGCCAGUUCUGGCUGGUGGUGCUGCUGCUGGACCAGGGGGAGACCAUAUGAGAAUCACACCACUUGAUUCAGCGUGCUUUCUGAGACACAUCCUACAAGAGAGCAACGCAGCAGCAAGACAAGUUACAACAAGCACUCAGAAAUAAUGCCCGGUCUAAAAGACAUUCGCAGGUAAAUAAUCCAGGCUGCAGGCAAGUGAAGGACUGGCUCUACCAAGUAGCAAAGGGACCAGAACAAGACCUGCUUCAGAGGAUGUGCACAACAUGAAGCACACCAGCCGGAGUAACUUUAGCACUGCUUUCUGCCUGUCAGUGGUUCUGCCUGGCUACUGGGAGGUAUGUCAAUGCUCUGCUCUUGGGACGGGGACACUCUUGGAGAGGAGCAGACAGUGUUGCUCCCGCAUUACCUGAGACCUGAUCUGGCAGAGAAGGGGACGGGCAGGCUUGGGGGACCACUGCUCAGCUGCUGGCAGGUACCAUGGUAGCAAGAGACAUAGAUCUCAUGUAACCAGCUGGUUGCCCCCCACAUCCUUAAAAAAGCACGCUGUGUUUUUAACGUAAGCUCAAUAACCAGUCAUCGGUAUGAAUUUCUAUGCCUUCCCUGCGUGUCUUCCGCAUGCAUAAGCAUGGGCUCUGGCGUCCUCGGCAAGGGCAAGUGGUGAGGAAGUGGGUAUGGGCUGUCCCCUGCCAGGCCACCUCUGUGCUCCAUGGCCAUGUGGGCCAACAAGUGCCGAAGGAGCUGAACACCAGGGUGCUGUCCCCCAUCCUGAGAAAUUGCCCCAGGAAGAGGAGAGGAGAGGCAAGGGGCAAAGGUGGCUGGAGUGGCCAGUGUCCUGCUUCCCCAUCCAGUCACCUUAAGGCCAAGGGUGGACUUUUCCCAGCACAGCUGAGUUGCUCCAUGUUGCCAGUGCGCCAGAGGAUGAUGGCCAAUGCAAGCUGCUGGUCCCCUCACCCAGGGCACAGCUGCAUCCUACAGGCAUUACUGUGGCCAAGACAAGGCCCUCGGAGAUCUUCUUUCCUUGCUAGCAGAUAGUGCUCUGAUUUCAGAGGGAGAUGACUCUGCUUUCCUUUUCAAAGUGAUUCUGAGUUGCCAGCUGGAGCCAUUUCACAUGGUGCCCAGCCCCAAAGACAGCCUUGGGCUCUGAGGGUCCUAAGCAGCCUGAGGCUGCCAUGGGUUUCCCAGGUCUCAGAGCAGGCCACCAAGUCGUGUGUGCAGUGCCUGUAUUUGUUGAGAAGCCACCAUGGAGGAGUGGAGGGUUCGAUGGAUUUAUUUAUUUUUAGUUUGCCUCCUAUUGUGAGUUGAUGUGCUUGGAGACAGCUUCUUGGAGAAAGUAAAGCUGGGCUGUGACAGUCCUCAGCCCAAGAGGAAGACCUGUGCCAACAUGUCUUACUCCAGUGACCAAGUGUGCUGUGGAAUGAGGGGUGGAAGGUGCCACUCGUGGUCUUUGUCACCACAUCACCUACAGCUACCCUGAGCCCUGGCUUGCAACAUUAUCAAGGACACGUUCAGCUGAGCUCAUAGAUGAAUAAACACUCUGCAUUUCU